rnacentral:rRNA from 1 species
UGGGAAUUUGGACAAUGGGCGAAAGCCUGAUCCAGCAAUGCCGCGUGUGUGAAGAAGGCCUUCGGGUUGUAAAGCACUUUUGUCCGGAAAGAAAUCCUUGGCUCUAAUACAGUCGGGGGAUGACGGUACCGGAAGAAUAAGCACCGGCUAACUACGUGCCAGCAGCCGCGGUAAUACGUAGGGUGCAAGCGUUAAUCGGAAUUACUGGGCGUAAAGCGUGCGCAGGCGGUUUGCUAAGACCGAUGUGAAAUCCCCGGGCUCAACCUGGGAACUGCAUUGGUGACUGGCAGGCUAGAGUAUGGCAGAGGGGGGUAGAAUUCCACGUGUAGCAGUGAAAUGCGUAGAGAUGUGGAGGAAUACCGAUGGCGAAGGCAGCCCCCUGGGCAAUACUGACGCUCAUGCACGAAAGCGUGGGGAGCAAACAGGAUUAGAUACCCUGGUAGUCCACGCCCUAAAACGAUGUCAACUAGUUGUGGGGAUUCAUUCCUUAGUAACGUAGCUAACGCGUGAAGUUGACCGCCUGGGGAGUACGGUCGCAAGAUUAAAACUUAAAUGAAUUGACGGGGUCAUAGCUGUUUCCU